GAGAACAAGGAGAAGAAUUUAGACAUAUGGGUUGUGAAAGAGGGUGCAAACUAAGUUUGAUUCUAGAUUGGGUAUUAAGAACCUCAGGUACUGAGUCAAGGCAGUGAUCUUGACCAAUAAAGAUUCUCUACUUGAUUUGAUUUUUAUUAAUUUUGUUGGUUACUUGAUCAUCUACAUCCAACAGUCCACUUUCAUGUCUAAACUCGGAACCCAAGUCCCCAUCUACUUUUGAUUGCAAGAAUUAUAUGGAACAAUGGCUUUCUUCUCUUCAAAACUUUGAUGCCUCAAUUAGCUGAUAUCUCUAGAGGAUUAUCUGCUUGAAGAAUUAGAGCUGUUACAUAAUUGGCUAAAUUAAAGCUUCUGCAACUUGGUCACUCUAGAUUAGUAUAGUUGCUCUAGAUCGAUGGUGGUUUUUUGCCUUAUGAGUUUAUUGAGCUGAUGCUCAUUAGGUCUAUGUAUGAAACAAUUGUGGAUGUAUCUGUUGGCUGUAAUGACAGA